rnacentral:rRNA from 1 species
AGCGAACGCUGGCGGCAGGCUUAACACAUGCAAGUCGAGCGGACAGCCUUGUGGUGUCAGCGGCAGACGGGUGCGUAACGCGUGUGAACGUGCCGUUCGGUUCGUACUUACUCGGGGAAACUUGAUCUAAUACCGGAUACGUGCGAGAGCAGAACGGUUUAUCUGCCGAAGGAUCGGCGCGCGUCUGAUUAGUUAGUUGGUGAGGUUACGGCUCACCAAGGCGACGAUCAGUAGCUGGUGUGAGAGGAUGAGCAGCCACACUGGGACGGAGAAACGGCCCAGACUCCUACGGGAGGCAGGAGUGGGGAAUAUUGGAACAUGGGGGCAACACUGAUCCAGCCAGGCCGCGUGAGUGAUGAUGGCCUUAGGGUUGUAAAGCUCUUUUCUCCGGGACGAUAAUGACGGUACCGGAGGAAUAAGCCCCGGCUAACUUCGUG